AAUAGAUACCCCGGGUAGUCCACGCCGUAAACGAUGAUAACUAGCUGUCCGGGUGCAUGGCACUUGGGGUGGCGCAGCUAACGCAUUAAGUUAUCCGCCUGGGGAGUACGGUCGCAAGAUUAAAACUCAAAGGAAUUGACGGGGGGCCUGCACAAGCGGUGAAGCAUGUGGUUUAAUUCGAAGCAACGCGCAGAACCUUACCAGCGUUUGACAUCCUGAUCGCGGUUACCAGAGAUGGUUUCCUUCAGUUCGGCUGGAUCAGUGACAGGUGCUGCAUGGCUGUCGUCAGCUCGUGUCGUGAGAUGUUGGGUUAAGUCCCGCAACGAGCGCAACCCUCAUCCCUAGUUGCCAUCAUUCAGUUGGGCACUCUAAGGAAACUGCCGGUGAUAAGCCGGAGGAAGGUGGGGAUGACGUCAAGUCCUCAUGGCCCUUACGCGCUGGGCUACACACGUGCUACAAUGGCGGUGACGAGUGGGCAGCGAACCGGGGCGGACCGGUAGCUAACUCUCCAAAACGCCGU
rnacentral:rRNA from 1 species